rnacentral:lncRNA from 1 species
CUCUCUGCUAGUGGUGGUUUCGGUUGCGACACCGUCCAGGUUCCCAGGCAGGAACCGCUCGGCCUGGCUGCUUAGCUACUUUUCACUGAGGAGGUGGUGGAAGGUGUCGCCUGCUCUGGCUGAGUAAGGGUGGCUGGCUGAGCCGGCAGCCCCCGCCCUAGGCCUGGCUCUUCCCGGCCUCUGUACUUUGCCCUCGCUGCCUGACAGGUUCUGCUGUGGGCUCUGCUGAAUGGAAGUCGCUGGUAGUCCUUUUCCCUUUCUCCAGUCGGUGGCUUGCCUCCUUACCCUGGCUCACAUCCCUGCUGUGGGAAACAUCUUACAGCAUAGAAGAAGGGGUGCAGGGCCCACCUUGGGACACCUUGACUCCAAGCCCAGCAGUAAGUCCAACAUGAUUCGGGGCCGCAACUCAGC